AUGGCCGCGUCGGGGUCCGGGUCCGGGUCCGGCCAGAUCCAGCCGCUCAAGAUCCCGGACGCCGUCGUCGCGCUCGCGCAGGCCGCCGCCAAGGCCAACAACAGCAGUAACAGCGCCGCCGCCGCCGACGCCACCGACAAAUAUCUCCCCGGGUGGCCGCUCUUCUCGCCGCCCAAGAUGCAGCUGACCAAGUGCGCCAAGUGCCCCCGGGAGUUCUGCUCCUCCGUCGCCCUCCGCCGCCACACCCGCGUCCACCGCCGCGCCCUCAAGAUCGACAAGGAUUUCCCCAAGAACAGAGACCACCUUGCCGCAUUCUGGGACAAACUCACGGUGGAUCAGGCCCAAGCGAUACUGUCCUUGGAGGGCGUGGCUAUAGAGGAGACCAGCGCUUUAUUCAUCUUGACAUCAUUGUCGUCAUGGAUGUGCAAGCCAGGGUACGCUUCGUUGCCGCUGCCGUAUGCCAGAGCUGGCAAUGAACUCCUGGACCUUAUUCAGACAGCAGCCUCAAGACUACCUAUCUCAUCAAAUGAACUGUUUAUCAUGCUCGACGAAGCAAGCGAGAACACAUUUCUCUGUACCAACGCAGCCGACGCUGGUUUCGUUCAGAAGUUUUUGUUUGAUGGGGAGGUUGAGAAGGUCGCAACAGAGUUGAAAAACGUUGUUGCGUGCACGAGUUACAUCCUUGAACAGAAGCUGGUUGAAGCAUGGUCUGCUGAUAAGGCCGCCGAAGCAUUAAGAUGCCAGAAGUUGCUUGUGGAGGAAGAGGACGCUGCUCAGAAAAGGCAAGCUGAAAUCAUGGAAAGGAAAAGGAUGAAGAAACUGAGACAGAAAGAACAGAGACUGAAAGACCUCAAGGACGAGGGCACCAUGGUCCAGUUACCUGAAGUGGUCGAUGGUGCGACGAGCUCUCCUGGGAUUCAGAGUCUCGAGGCUGUUUCAGGCCCUGGCCUCCACGAGCAAGAAGACCCACAGCAUCUUCAAUUGUCAGCACCAGUGCCUUCAGACGACAAUGGUUGCAAUGGAGAAGAUGCCAAUUGUGGUUCGGGACAAGAAAUCGAUACUGCUGCUGUUUUCAGGGAACAAGCCAUGGCAACAAGCAAUCUCGACAGGGCAGAAAACCUUCCCCCAAAUAGCUCUGUCUCGGGUUCUUCUGCGACUGCGUCGAAGCAUCCAUCUUCAUCUUCAGUAAGGCACUCACGUCACAGGGAGCCAAAUGUCGGUGCAGCGACAAACAAAAGCAAGACCUGGGCAUGGAAGGUGCGAACUGGUGUUGAAGAACGGUGCCCAAAAGGUGAGCCAGAUGUAGAUGCUAACCAAGAGACGGCUCCUCUCAACACGGACAAGAACUCGCAAGUGCUAAUAGGAUCCAUAAGCGUCGCGAUCGAAGACGGUGGUGGAUGCUCGCAGGACUCCAAGGAUAACCACCCAGCUCCUCCUGAAUCUGAUUCGAACACUCUGAACGAUCCAGUGGCCAAGGUGAUGCAGCCAACCAGCCAUGAUGAGAACGGAUGUGAAGACGCUAAUGGUGGUACCAUUACACCGGCAGCAGAGGACCAUUCUCCCUCCAGUAUCAUGACAGAUGAGAGCGGCUCAGUCUGUGGCAACGUGGAGUCGGCAGAAAGCGUGGGCCUACAACGAGGCACCAUGAUGUCUUCCGGUCAAGAAGCGGCGGCAUUCCUUUCUCAAAGAUGGAAGGAAGCGGUGGCUGGGGAUCAUGUGAAGCUUGUUCUGUGCUGA
rnacentral:rRNA from 1 species